rnacentral:lncRNA from 1 species
UUCCCCACAGAAAAUGUUUACAUUGAUCAUAAAAAGAGCUUAAAACCAUAAGAAAUAAAAUGCCAGCUUAGUGAUCAUGAUGGUUUAGGUUUGCUCAUCAUUUUGCACUUUAAAAAAGUACUUCAAUAUUUAUUAUCUGGGAGACCAAUAGGAGUGAUUGUUUAUGUCAUGAAGUACCAUCCUUUUAAAUAGUCUAGUAAAAAAUAAUGCUGAGUAUAUUUGAGAUUGAAGCUCACGGAAGGAUAAGGAAAGAUAUACCUCUUCAACCUGAAUACUUUUAGGGAUUUCAGGUUUUUCUUUUUCCUGUGGGAAUCAGUCAGUUGUGUCAUUUGUUGUGAGAAUCAAUCCAGAUAUUUUACCCAAUGCUCUCCUCUUCUUUACACGAUCCGAUGUUACUUCCAUAAUGAAGCGUGGGGUAACUCUCCAGAGGACGUUUUGGCAUUUUCUGGUUUCAGAUUUCUAUCUUAUCAUCCCUAUGAAUUUCACAGUCAACAUCAGUGGUGUUGGUGUUCUCAAAAUUAUGGGAUGUCCAUUACGUCCUGUGACUGGCAGCCAGACUAAGUCAUGAGCUCUCCAUGGAAAGAAAGUUUGUGCUUCUGUCCAUGUGCAAAAUUACUAUUGUACAUAUGGAGUUCUCACUGUGGUGCAGUGGGUUAAGAAUCAGACUGCAUCAGCUCAGGUCACCGCAGAGGUACAUGUUUGAUCCCAGCCUGGUGCAGGAGUUUAAAGGAUCUGGCUUAGAUUCAGUCCCUGGCCCAGGAACUUCUGGAAACUUCCGUAUGCCAUGGUGUGGCCAUUAAAAAAAAAAAAAAAAAAAGAGAGACGGGGAGAGAGCAAGAGAGAGAGAGAACAAAUUAGUUCAAAACAACCAUCCUUCUCAGUCUAUAUAAAAGAAAAGCUUAGACAUUUGGAAACAAGGAUUCUUUGAAGGGUGUUUAAUACAAGAGAGGAUGCUUUAGCUUUUCCCUUUUAGAAAGAAGUGAGGGGUCUCUCAUAGCCUACAGGAGCCCGCAGGGAGAGCCUGUUAGUUGCCACAAUCCCCUCCCCCAGCCUUUUCAUCUUGGAUGGAAUAUUUUAAAGCAAAUCUCAGACAUCAUGUCAUUUCACGGAGGGUGAGAAGUCUUGUUAUAUUAUUGAAGAUAAAAGACACAACAACAACAAAAAAGAAACCUUUUUGAGGGGAGAAUUCCUUUUGUCUCUGACUGACAGCCAAGCAAACAAGUAGAAACAUAGGCCCUCUGGGGAACUGAGGGGCCCCUGAACCUGCCACCCUAACAGAUAUUGCUAAAUAAAACAAUAAAAUGAAAGAGUGGAUUCUUCCCAGCUGAUCACCUCCCUGUUCUCAGAUGCACUCUGGGUCCCACCUUAGGAGACAUGACUGAUUUAACUUGGAGGAGAGGGAAAGGGGAUAAGAAAUGUUUUUCUUUUUGUUUUUGUGGUUUUUUGCUUUUUUGCAGUUGGCAGAGGUGAAGGGAUGAAACAACCCAUUUCUUGCAAGUGAUCUGAUGGAUGUAUCACGUGUCAACAAAGAACAAAGAAAUACUUCCCCUCCUGUUCUUGAAUGCAAUGCCCCUUUUCAAGCAUUUCGGCUCUGCUAGUAUUUCAAAUUUAAAUCCAAGGUCAUUUCUCUGGGCAGGAGGUCACUCUUAUGUUUCUAGAACAGAAAAGAAAAAAGUACAAAAGCCCCGAAAAGCCCUGCACACAAAGACUCUGUAUUCUUCCCUUGGUAUUGAAAACACCUUGUUAACCCCAUGCUCCUCCCUCUGACCUAUAGGGAUUGCAUUUUCAUGGAAAUCUUGGUGAGUGGGAAAGAGUUGCUAGUUUAAGGCAGAAGACUUUCUAACAUAAGUCUGUUCUUUUUGGAAAAAUAAUGCAAGGUUGCUGUGGAAAAUCGGGACACCUGUAAAGAAGGGAGAUCAAAUAACCCAGAGAACUAUAACAUUGUAUUUUCUUUUGGUGUCUUUUUAAAAGCUUUGGGGUGAGCAUGUGUAUGGAUGUGCUUACCAACUUUUAACCAGUGGAAUGAUGCAAGAUUGUUUGGUGGCCUUUAUUUUUUCAACUGAAAACAAAUAAACAAACAAAACUAUUCAUUCUUCUGGAUGUGGGUUUCCCUAGAACUUUUCAGCAGUCCUCCUGUCCCCAUGUUUAGGAUGGCAUGACUGAGAGGGAGAAAGGAAAUGGCCCCACCUUGGGCACUAACUGCUAUGUUGGGUGGCAAUAUGGAGAGAUGACUGGACAGCAGUUCAAGGGGUCUUAGAACACUGAUCUUUUAGCCCAGAGUUGAGAUGUUAUCUCCUCUAGCUUCCCGCUUCCUCACCUUACAAACGCAUCUCCAGUUCAUCUUCAUCUGAACAGUUUAUUACCUCCUCUAUCUCUUCUAUCAAACCUUUGGACUCCAGGGUUCUUACAGGAAAUAUGCCUCUUGUAGCCAUUAGGCCAAAAUUUGGCUCAGAAAUCACCUCAUGAUGCCCCUCCUCUUAGUGUUAAGGAGGAAAAGGAUGGUUUAAGAGCAAGAACCCAUAUUUGGCAGGAGUUUGGGGUAGAAAAUCAAUGCUACUCAUUGACAAAGGGCAGGAAGGAGACUCAAGACAAUGUUCAGGACUUCUCUUGGGAUCAUUUGUCUCCUACUGGGAUUAAGUAGGCUUUCUGAAGGUUAAAAAGUACCACACUUCUCCAGAAUGACGCUGACCCAGGAAUUUAAAUUUAAAUUCCUAAGGAACUGCUCAGUGUGGGUGGUGCCCUCUUUCCUGCUAAUUGCCUUACUUAUGAUUGAUAUUUGUUAUGAGAAACUCUUGACACACCCUCUCCAAAUGUUUGAGCUUUAUCAUUCUGGAAAAAUGUGUCUAAAAUGUGUGAUGUGUAUUAAUUAUGUAUCUACCACUUCCUUAUGUAUUAUCUUGGCAAGGUUUGGGGUAGAAAAGCCAGUUCUAUUGGGUUAGCUUGAUGUAGAAGGCCAAGCCAUCCAUCCAAUGCAGAUUAUCCUGGACAUGAAGUUAGAAACAUGGUUGUCUUUAGGGAGUACCAAUCUGGAAAAGGGCCCAGAUGGCUCCCCUCAUGGUACCAGCCAAUAAUGGAGGUGGAGAGAGAGGAGGACUUAUUGAAUGAGAGUGUGGUUUAUUGAGUUGGUAGUAAAUAAGAUCCAAAGCCUUCAUAUACCAGACUCAUUUCUAGAAGAAAACUUGCCCUUCAUCCUAUUGGAGGUUAUGAGGUGACUUGAUACCAAAACCAUGAGAAUUUCAAGUUGAAUAAAAUAUAGUUUAUUCAUUCAAAAAACAUUUGCCAAGUGCCUUCUGUGUACUAGCAUGUAGCUAUAGAGAUGAACAGUGAAUUACUUCUUUCCUCAAAGAACUUCCAAUCUAGUGCUAAAGUAAUAAAAACUCCAUGAAGCAGGUUGAAAUUAGCACAAUGUUAGAAAUACACAUGAAGUGCUCUUAUAUGGGAAAUAAAAUUAUACAGCUCUGAUGUCUGGCACAUAAAAGACUCCAUAAUAAUUGAAUAAAUGAAUGCAUCAGGGAAGUAUUUUUAAGGGAAAUAUUACAUUUGAACUGAUCACUGAGGACGGGUAGAAUUUUGUUGGGAGCUCACUAUAUAAUUUGUGCAAAGACCCAGAUGUGAAAGUGUUUGAAUGGUUCAAAAAGUGCUAAUAAAUCAUUGGGCUUGGUCUGGGAACACAGCGAAAGGUAGUUGGAGAAGCACAUACCAGGAAGGAUCUUGAAUACUAUGUAAAGAGUUUCAAUGUUAUUCUCCAGAUAAUGGGCAACUAAGCGUCUCUGAAGAGGAAUGCUACACGAUUUGACUGUUUUUAGGAAUAUCAUUCUGAGGGUAUCUCAGGAAAAACUUCAAAGUUGAGACUGGCAAUAUUCAACUCUGAUGGUUUGUAUUCACAUCUGUUAUUGAUUAUUGAGUCUCAAGUGAAACUUGAAAGCAGUCAGGUUUGGUUGUCAUCUUCAUUUCACCUAGAAUAGACUAUACCUGGAGAGGUUUGCCCAGGGUGGCAUGCUGCAUGACACAGAACCAAUACAAGAAGCCCAGUUUCUUCAUUCAUCCAGCCUAAUGCUGUCAGAGCUUUCC